rnacentral:rRNA from 1 species
AACGAACGCUGGCGGCAGGCCUAACACAUGCAAGUCGAACGCUGUAGCAAUACAGAGUGGCAGACGGGUGAGUAACGCGUGGGAACGUGCCCUUUGGUUCGGAAUAACCCAGGGAAACUUGGGCUAAUACCGGAUACGUCCGUAAGGAGAAAGAUUUAUCGCCAAAGGAUCGGCCCGCGUCGGAUUAGCUAGUUGGUGAGGUAAAGGCUCACCAAGGCGACGAUCCGUAGCUGGUCUGAGAGGAUGACCAGCCACACUGGGACUGAGACACGGCCCAGACUCCUACGGGAGGCAGCAGUGAGGAAUAUUGGACAAUGGGCGCAAGCCUGAUCCAGCCAUGCCGCGUGAGUGAAGAAGGCCUUAGGGUUGUAAAGCUCUUUCAGCUGGGAAGAUAAUGACGGUACCGCAGAAGAAGCCCCGGCUAACUCCGUGCCAGCCGCCGCCGU